CACUGUAUGAUCAAUAGGGUUGGGUAUCGAGUAUCGAGUAUCGAUUGGAACCGGGACUAACUUUUCGAUUUUCCCGGAAUCGUUCAAAAGUUUAAAUUUCGAUUCCUAGUUUCGAUAUUCACAGUCCGCCGACCGGAAGAAGAAACUGCUGAACACCAACGAAGAAGCGUCCACCGGAAGUGUUGGCAUAACCGCGUGAAUCGAACAUGAAUAGCUUGCGUCGGCGGUCCAAAGUGUGGCUUCACUUUUCUAAAAAUAACGAAAUCUCGGCAAAAUGUAACAUUUGUGACAAGAAUAGUAUUUCCCUCAGAAAGACCGUUGGUUAGCUAAACUUUUUUGACCCUGCCUCUUAAAAGAAUCGGAAUUGAGAAUCGUUAGGAACCGGAAUCGAAACAAGGAAUCGGAAUCGGAAUUGGAAUCGUUCAAAUUCAAACGAUACCCAACCCUAAUGAUCAAUA